GCGGAAAGGCCCUUCGGGGUACUCGAGCGGCGAACGGGUGAGUAACACGUGAGUAACCUGCCCCUGACUCUGGGAUAAGCCCGGGAAACUGGGUCUAAUACCGGAUACGACACCUCCUGGCAUCGGGUGGGUGUGGAAAGUUUUUUCGGUUGGGGAUGGACUCGCGGCCUAUCAGCUUGUUGGUGGGGUAAUGGCCUACCAAGGCGACGACGGGUAGCCGGCCUGAGAGGGCGACCGGCCACACUGGGACUGAGACACGGCCCAGACUCCUACGGGAGGCAGCAGUGGGGAAUAUUGCGCAAUGGGCGAAAGCCUGACGCAGCGACGCCGCGUGGGGGAUGACGGCCUUCGGGUUGUAAACCUCUUUCAGCAGGGACGAAGUUGACGUGUACCUGCAGAAGAAGCGCCGGCUAACUACGUGCCAGCAGCCGCGGUAAUACGUAGGGCGCAAGCGUUGUCCGGAAUUAUUGGGCGUAAAGAGCUCGUAGGUGGCUUGUCACGUCGGGUGUGAAAGCUUGGGGCUUAACUCCAGGUCUGCAUUCGAUACGGGCUGGCUAGAGGUAGGUAGGGGAGAACGGAAUUCCUGGUGUAGCGGUGAAAUGCGCAGAUAUCAGGAGGAACACCGGUGGCGAAGGCGGUUCUCUGGGCCUUACCUGACGCUGAGGAGCGAAAGCGUGGGGAG
rnacentral:rRNA from 1 species